rnacentral:rRNA from 1 species
GACGAACGCUGGCGGCGUGCUUAACACAUGCAAGUCGAACGGAAAGGCCUGCUUUCCCUUGUGGAUUGCGGGUACUCGAGUGGCGAACGGGUGAGUAACACGUGAGUGAUCUGCCCCCAACUUGGGUAUAAGCCUGGGAAACUGGGUCUAAUUCCCGAUAGGACUGCAGGGUGGUGCCUGUGGUGGAAAACGAUUUUCUAGUGGUUGGGGAUGAGCUCGCGGCCUAUCAGCUUGUUGGUGGGGUAAUGGCCUACCAAGGCGGCGACGGGUAGCCGGCCUGAGAGGGUGGACGGCCACAUUGGGACUGAGAUACGGCCCAGACUCCUACGGGAGGCAGCAGUGGGGAAUAUUGCACAAUGGGCGGAAGCCUGAUGCAGCGACGCCGCGUGGGGGAUGACGGCCUUCGGGUUGUAAACUCCUUUCGACCGCGAGGAAGCCACCUGGUUGGAAGGGUGGUGACGGUAGUGGUAGAAGAAGCACCGGCUAACUGCGUG